rnacentral:misc_RNA from 1 species
ACACCUCAACUCUCAUGGUUUGCCAUGAUGAGCUUGGACUUUGGGGGUCUUGCUGGCCUGUGGUCGGCUCCUCUCAAACGGAUCAGCUUGCCAGUGUUUGGUGGCACCACGGGUGUGAUAACUAUCUACGCUUGUGGUUUUCCACCAGAUAACCUUCAGCGAUGGAGGUUCACUGGAGCUCAUAAAUGUCUCUCCUCAGCGAAGACAGCUCUUUGAAC